AUGGCUCCUCGUCCCAUCCCUGCCUGGAUGCAUGGCCGGUGCUGCAGAUGCUUUGUUUGUGGGCACCGUGCGGCGGAAUGUAGAGAUCCGUUUCGGUGCUUCCGUUGCUUGGAGAACAGUCACUGUGCACGUGGAUGUCGCAAUCCAUGGCGUCCUCUAAGCUCGUUGUCAUGCCUUGCCGUGCAACCAAUUCUGAGUAUCGUGCAUCGUCAUGCUACAGCUUCAUGUGAGAGUCCGAUGAAAUCCACGCUACCAUCCAAGGCAUUUCAUCAUCGGUCUUGGGCGUCUGUCGUCUCUGCUACCGAUGGCUCGGCCACCCAGCCUGAUGUGCAGUCUACUCUGGCUGAUCAAAUCGCGCAGUUGCAGGGUUGGAUGACGCGGGUUGAGAGCUUUCUGGAGAGGGCGGAGGCUGCUCUGGACAAGCUCUCCUUAGGGCCAGCUAUGUUGUCAAUCAGUCUGAUGUCAUGCCCUCCUGGUGUGGCCGGUGUUGCCACCACGGAGGAAGGAAGCCAAGAGCUAUAUGGAUGUUUCUCUCCUCGUGUUGGGGACAACGCAUCGUCACUAUCAACCUUGUCUCCUGUGCUGCCUACCAUUGAGGGCGAGCCCAGCGCCGUGCUUGAGUCACUGGUUCUACAGAUCAUGCCCGACCUACAGGAGCUAUGUCUUAGCCCUGUUUUGCCUUUGUCUGUGGAGCGCUUGGAGGUGGACUCAUUAGUGACCUUGUGUGAGGGGCAUGUUUCGCCUCUGUCACAUGAGCAAGUGGAGGUGCCUGAGGCAAUUGUGUCAGUGGUUUCUAUGGACGAUGUUGUCGUCUCAGUGGUUUCUGUGGUUGAUGAUGUUGAGGCGGUCGGUAUGUUGGCGCCUGACCCUUUGGAGUCCAGCCAGUCGCUCGCCUUUGUGGACGGCGGAGGUUCCGACGUUCCGGUCACCAACUCACACGUGACCGUUGGGCACGUGAUGUCUGUGCGUGACAAGGUCAAUGAGAUUCUCUUCGAGUUAGAGAUUCACGGCUUGCUCAAACGUUUAGAGGCGGCUAGCCCUAGAUCUGGCAAGGUGAUUGUGGAGGAGGCUCUCAGAAACCAAAGAAAGAAGAGUGGCGCCACAGGAAAGGCGUCUACAACUGCUUGA
rnacentral:rRNA from 1 species